rnacentral:rRNA from 1 species
UGGGGAAUAUUGCACAAUGGGGGAAACCCUGAUGCAGCGACGCCGCGUGAGCGAAGAAGUAUUCGGUAUGUAAAGCUCUAUCAGCAGGGAAGAAAUUGACGGUACCUGAGUAAGAAGCUCCGGCUAAAUACGUGCC